rnacentral:lncRNA from 1 species
ACAUUUCUAUUCUAAUUACAUCCAAUUAUAAACCACAACCACAUAUGUGUCAACAUAAACAUUACAAAAAAGUAUCUGAAGUUACAAGAUUGCAUUCCAAGCAUUCCAAUCCAUAAGCGAAACCAAUGUCCAUUCAUAGCCUUGCAUUUCCAAGUAGUUCUUGCAUCAUGAACCAAUAACAAAACCGUACACUUGUAUAUGCCGAUCAUGAGCCAAACACACGG